rnacentral:sRNA from 1 species
UCAUGGCGGGACUUCGUCAAGAAUUCAGA